UGGGGAAUAUUGGACAAUGGGCGAAAGCCUGAUCCAGCCAUGCCGCGUGUGUGAAGAAGGUCUUCGGAUUGUAAAGCACUUUAAGUUGGGAGGAAGGGCAGUAAGUUAAUACCUUGCUGCUUUGACGUUACCGACAGAAUAAGCACCGGCUAACUCUGUGCCAGCAGCCGCGGUAAUACAGAGGGUGCAAGCGUUAAUCGUAAUUACUGGGCGUAAAGCGCGCGUAGGUGGUUUGUUAAGUUGGAUGUGAAAGCCCCGGGCUCAACCUGGGAACUGCAUCCAAAACUGGCAAGCUAGAGUACGGUAGAGGGUGGUGGAAUUUCCUGUGUAGCGGUGAAAUGCGUAGAUAUAGGAAGGAACACCAGUGGCGAAGGCGACCACCUGGACUGAUACUGACACUGAGGUGCGAAAGCGUGGGGAGCAAACA
rnacentral:rRNA from 1 species